UCAAACAUAGAUCUCAAGUGAAGUAAGACUACCCGCUGAAUUUAAGCAUAUUAUUAAGCGGAGGAAAAGAAACUAACAAGGAUUCCCUCAGUAACGGCGAGUGAAGCGGGAAGAGCUCAAACCGAGAAUCCUCACUCAUUGCGUAGUGAGGAAUUGUGGUCUAUGGAGCCAUGUUCAGUUCGUGUCCUCGGUCUAAGUGCCUUGGAAGAGGCCAUCAGAGAGGGUGAGAGUCCCGUCUUAGGCUGAGAGUACACGAGCGUACGGACUGGUUUCCGAGAGUCGGGUUGCUUGGGAGUGCAGCCCUAAGUGGGUGGUAAAUUUCAUCUAAAGCUAAAUACAUGCCAGAGACCGAUAGCGAACAAGUACCGUGAGGGAAAGAUGAAAAGAACUUUGAAAAGAGAGUUAAAAAGUACCUGAAAUCGCUAAGAUUGAAGGGAUGGGAAUUAGUCAUGGCGACGAGGUUCUGGCGAUCUGGUUUCGACCGGUCGUUUACCACCUCGUUGCUCGUGUCAGGAUGGGUUCACCGUGCGUCAGGGCACGUGGGAGUAGGUCACCUUCGGGAACGAGACUCCCUCGCAGCCGUCGUGCGGUGGACCGAGGUUGCCGCCCAGCUAUUCCGGCGGCCCAUAUGUGGAUUGUGAGCGGAUGGAGAGCAAAGCUCUGCUUUCGUGUAUCGGUUGCAUGGUGGGUCGUCGUGUGGCAUGGUUUGGAUUCCUGACGAAAUGAUUCUCAUUCACCCGUCUUGAAACACGGACCAAGGAGUCUAA
rnacentral:rRNA from 1 species